GACGAACGCUGGCGGCGUGCCUAAUACAUGCAAGUCGAGCGCAGGAAACUGACGAAACUCUUCGGAGGGAAGGCAGUGGAAUGAGCGGCGGACGGGUGAGUAACACGUAAGGAACCUGCCUCAAGGAUUGGGAUAACUCCGAGAAAUCGGCGCUAAUACCGGAUAGUUCAACGGACCGCAUGGUCCGCUGAUGAAAGGCGCUUCGGCGUCACCUUGAGAUGGCCUUGCGGUGCAUUAGCUAGUUGGUGGGGUAACGGCCCACCAAGGCGACGAUGCAUAGCCGACCUGAGAGGGUGAUCGGCCACACUUGGACUGAGACACGGCCCAGACUCCUACGGGAGGCAGCAGUAGGGAAUCUUCCACAAUGGACGAAAGUCUGAUGGAGCAACGCCGCGUGAGUGAUGAAGGUUUUCGGAUCGUAAAACUCUGUUGUAAGGGAAGAACACGUACGAGAGGAAAUGCUCGUACCUUGACGGUACCUUACGAGAAAGCCACGGCUAACUACGUGCCAGCAGCCGCCGUAAAAC
rnacentral:rRNA from 1 species